rnacentral:rRNA from 1 species
UCGGGAAUUUUGGGCAAUGGGGGAAACCCUGACCCAGCAACGCCGCGUGAAGGAUGAAGUAUUUCGGUAUGUAAACUUCGAAAGAAUAGGAAGAAUAAAUGACGGUACUAUUUAUAAGGUCCGGCUAACUACGUGCCAGCAGCCGCGGUAAUACGUAGGGACCAAGCGUUGUUCGGAUUUACUGGGCGUAAAGGGCGCGUAGGCGGCAAUUCAAGUCAUCUGUGAAAUCUCCGGGCUUAACUCGGAACGGUCAGAUGAUACUGCUUUGCUAGAGUGCAGAAGGGGCAAUCGGAAUUCUUGGUGUAGCGGUGAAAUGCGUAGAUAUCAAGAGGAACACCUGAGGUGAAGACUGGUUGCUGGGCUGACACUGACGCUGAGGCGCGAAAGCCAGGGGGAGCAAACGGGGAUUAGAU